rnacentral:rRNA from 1 species
GAUGAACGCUAGCGGCAGGCUUAACACAUGCAAGUCGAACGGCAGCACGACCAGCAAUGGUUGGUGGCGAGUGGCAAACGGGUGCGGAACACGUACGCAACAUACCCUUGUCUGGGGCAUAGCCUUCUGAAAAGGAGAUUAACACCCCAUAAGAUCACAAAAAUGGCAUCAUUUAGUGAUAAAAAUUUAUUGGACAGGGAUUGGCGUGCGUCCUAUUAGCUAGUUGGAAGGGUAACGGCCUACCAAGGCGACGAUAGGUAGCUGGUGUGAGAGCACGACCAGCCACACGGGCACUGAGACACGGGCCCGACUCCUACGGGAGGCAGCAGUGAGGAAUAUUGGUCAAUGGACGCAAGUCUGAACCAGCCAUGCCGCGUGAAGGAUGAAGGCGUUCUGCGUUGUAAACUUCUUUUGCGGGGGAAGAAACCUGGAUAUUCUUAUUCAGCCGACGGUACCCCGAGAAUAAGCACCGGCUAACUCCGUGCCAGCAGCCGCCGCCGUAA